CCGCAUAAGCCCACGACCCGGCAUCGGGUAGAGGGAAAAGGAGCAAUCCGCUUUGAGAUGGCCUCGCGUCCGAUUAGCUAGUUGGUGAGGUAACGGCCCACCAAGGCGACGAUCGGUAGCCGGACUGAGAGGUUGAACGGCCACAUUGGGACUGAGACACGGCCCAGACUCCUACGGGAGGCAGCAGUGGGGAAUAUUGCACAAUGGGGGAAACCCUGAUGCAGCGACGCCGCGUGGAGGAAGGAGGUCUUCGGAUUGUAAACUCCUGUUGUUGAGGAAGAUAAUGACGGUACUCAACAAGGAAGUGACGGCUAACUACGUGCCAGCAGCCGCGGUAAAACGUAGGUCACAAGCGUUGUCCGGAAUUACUGGGUGUAAAGGGAGCGCAGGCGGGAAGACAAGUUGGAAGUGAAAUCCAUGGGCUCAACCCAUGAACUGCUUUCAAAACUGUUUUUCUUGAGUAGUGCAGAGGUAGGCGGAAUUCCCGGUGUAGCGGUGGAAUGCGUAGAUAUCGGGAGGAACACCAGUGGCGAAGGCGGCCUACUGGGCACCAACUGACGCUGAGGCUCGAAAGUGUGGGUAGCAAACAGGGUUAGAUACCCUGGUAGUCCACACUGU
rnacentral:rRNA from 1 species